GACGAACGCUGGCGGCGUGCUUAACACAUGCAAGUCGAACGGAAAGGCCUGCUUUCCCUUGUGGAUUGCGGGUACUCGAGUGGCGAACGGGUGAGUAACACGCGAGUGAUCUGCCCCCAACUUGGGUAUAAGCCUGGGAAACUGGGUCUAAUUCCCGAUAGGACUGCAGGGUGGUGCCUGUGGUGGAAAACGAUCUUCUAGUGGUUGGGGCUGAGCUCGCGGCCUAUCAGCUUGUUGGUGGGGUAAUGGCCUACCAAGGCGGCGAGGGGUAGCCGGCGGGAGAUGGUGGACAGCCGCAUUGGGACACGGUCCCGGCUCCGACGGCAACGGGCGGCAGGGAUUGGGCAUCAUUCGGCAUGGGCGGAAGGGUGAAGCAGCGAGGGCGCGUGGGGGGUGUCGGCAUUCGGGUUGUCAACUACUUGCGACCGCGAUGAAGCCACCUGGUUGGAAGGGUGGUGACGGUAGUGGUAGAAGAAGCACCGGCUAACUACGUG
rnacentral:rRNA from 1 species